rnacentral:rRNA from 1 species
UACGAAGGGGGCUAGCGUUGUUCGGAAUUACUGGGCGUAAAGCGCGCGCAGGCGGUUCGAUAAGUUGGGGGUGAAAUCCCCGGGCUCAACCCGGGAAUUGCCUUCAAGACUGUCGAGCUAGAGGACGAGAGAGGUGAGUGGAAUUCCCAGUGUAGAGGUGAAAUUCGUAGAUAUUGGGAAGAACACCGGUGGCGAAGGCGGCUCACUGGCUCGUUUCUGACGCUGAGGAGCGAAAGCGUGGGGAGCGAACAGG